rnacentral:rRNA from 11 species
CUGUCUCCAGCCGAGACUCAGUGAAGUUGAAAUUGCGGUGAAGAUGCCGUAUACCCGCGGCUAGACGGAAAGACCCCGUGAACCUUUACUAUAGCUUCACAGUGGACUCUGAUAUUACUUGUGUAGGAUAGCUGGGAGGCUUUGAAGCAGUGGCGCUAGCCAUUGUGGAGCCGUCCUUGAAAUACCAGCCUGGUAAUGUUGAGGUUCUAACUCUGUCCCGUGAUCCGGGACGAGGACCGUGUCUGGUGGGUAGUUUGACUGGGG